rnacentral:rRNA from 1 species
AACGAACGCUGGCGGCAGGCUUAACACAUGCAAGUCGAGCGAGACCUUCGGGUCUAGCGGCGGACGGGUGAGUAACGCGUGGGAACGUGCCCUUCUCUACGGAAUAGCCCCGGGAAACUGGGAGUAAUACCGUAUACGCCCUUUGGGGGAAAGAUUUAUCGGAGAAGGAUCGGCCCGCGUUAGAUUAGGUAGUUGGUGGGGUAAUGGCCCACCAAGCCGACGAUCCAUAGCUGGUUUGAGAGGAUGAUCAGCCACACUGGGACUGAGACACGGCCCAGACUCCUACGGGAGGCAGCAGUGGGGAAUCUUAGACAAUGGGGGCAACCCUGAUCUAGCCAUGCCGCGUGAGUGAUGAAGGCCUUAGGGUUGUAAAGCUCUUUCAGCUGGGAAGAUAAUGACGGUACCAGCAGAAGAAGCCCCGGCUAACUCCGUG